rnacentral:rRNA from 1 species
AAAAAGACAGUCUCAGUUCGGAUUGAAGGCUGAAAUUCGCCUUCAUGAAGCUGGAAUUGCUAGUAAUGGCAGGUCAGCAUACUGCCGUGAAUACGUUCCCGGGCCUUGUACACACCGCCCGUCACACCAUGAGAGUUGGGAAUACCCGAAGCCUGUGAGCUAACUGUAAGGAGGCAGCAGUCGAAGGUAGAAUCAAUGAUUGGGGUGAAGUCGUAACAAGGUAAC